GGUGCUGUGGCUCAAGUGGUAGAGCACUAGCCUUGCAUGCCUGAGGCCCUGGGUUCCAUUCUUCAGCACCA
rnacentral:tRNA from 1 species